rnacentral:tRNA from 1 species
UGUGGAUGUAGUCCAGUGGCACAGUACUUGUGUUGUAAGCACAAAGCCCUGGGUUCAAUCCUCAGCACCACAA